AGAACAUUCGGAUCAUCGGUCUAUCGAGAAAUAACACCCACUGGGUGGAAGGUCUUCCCUUUGUCGU
rnacentral:pre_miRNA from 1 species